rnacentral:rRNA from 1 species
AAUUCACUAGUGAUUGAAACGACUGCUAAGACUGGAUAGGAAGAAAUAAGGCAUCUUAUUUCUUUUAAAAGACCUAGUAAUAGGUAUACUUUAGGAGGGGCUUGCGCCAUAUUAGUUAGUUGGUAGGGUAAUGGCCUACCAAGACGAUGAUGUGUAGCUGGACUGAGAGGUUGAACAGCCACAUUGGGACUGAGACACGGCCCAAACUCCUACGGGAGGCAGCAGUAAGGAAUUUUCGGCAAUGGAGGAAACUCUGACCGAGCAACGCCGCGUGAACGACGAAGUACUUUGGUAUGUAAAGUUCUUUUAUCAAGGAAGAAAAGCAAGUGGCGAACCAUUUGUUUGCCGGUACUUGAUGAAUAAGCCCCGGCUAAUUAUGUGCCAGCAGCCGCGGUAAGACAUAAGGGGCAAGUGUUAUCCGGAAUUAUUGGGCGUAAAGGGUGCGUAGGCGGUCUAGUAAGUCAGUGGUGUAAUGGCAACGCUCAACGUUGUCCGGCUAUUGAAACUGCUAAACUUGAGUUAGAUAGAGGCGAGUGGAAUUCCAUGUGUAGCGGUAAAAUGCGUAAAUAUAUGGAGGAACACCAGAGGCGUAGGCGGCUCGCUGGGUCUUAACUGACGCUGAGGCACGAAAGCGUGGGGAGCAAACAGGAUUAGAUACCCUGGUAGUCCACGCCGUAAACGAUGAGUACUAAGUGUCGGGUUAAACCGGUACUGAAGUUAACACAUUAAGUACUCCGCCUGAGUAGUACGUACGCAAGUAUGAAACUUAAAGGAAUUGACGGGACUCCGCACAAGCGGUGGAUCAUGUUGUUUAAUUCGAAGAUACCCGAAAAACCUUACCAGGUCUUGACAUGUUUUUGCGAAACGGUAGUAAUAUCGUAGAGGUUAUCAGAAACACAGGUGGUGCAUGGUUGUCGUCAGCUCGUGUCGUGAGAUGUUAGGUUAAGUCCUAAAACGAGCGAAACCCUUAUCGUUAGUUGCCAGCACGUUAUGGUGGGGACUUUAACGAGACUGCCAGUGAUAAACUGGAGGAAGGUGAGGAUCACGUCAAGUCAGCAUGCCCCUUAUGACCUGGGCUACAAACGUGAUACAAUGGCUGUUACAAAGGGUAGCUGAAACGUAAGUUCUUGGCCAAUCCCCAAAAACAGUCUCAGUCCGGAUUGAAGUCUGCAACUCGACUUCAUGAAGUUGGAAUCGCUAGUAAUCGCGAAUCAGCAUGUCGCGGUGAAUACGUUCACGGGGUUUGUACACACCGCCCGUCAAAUCG